rnacentral:rRNA from 1 species
AACGUAGGGGACAAGCGUUAUCCGGAUUUACUGGGCGUAAAGCGCCCGUAGGCGGCCACCGCAAGUCGGUUGUGAAAUCUCUGGGCUUAACCCAGAAAGGUCAACCGAUACUGCGGGGCUAGAGUGCAGAAGGGGCAACUGGAAUUCUCGGUGUAGCGGUGAAAUGCGUAGAUAUCGAGAGGAACACCUGCGGCGAAGGCGGGUUGCUGGGCUGACACUGACGCUGAAGCGCGAAAGCUAGGGGAGCGAACGGG